UUAAGAAUCUUGCACAAUGGGCGCAAGCCUGAUGCAGCGACGCCGCGUGAAUGAUGAAGGCCUUCGGGUUGUAAAGUUCAGUAAGCAGGGAAGAAUAAGCACUGGGUAAUAUUCAGUGUGAUGACGGUACCUGCCUAAAGCCCCGGCUAACUACGUGCCAGCAGCCGCGGUAAUACGUAUGGGGCGAGCGUUGUUCGGAAUUAUUGGGCGUAAAGGGCGUCUAGGCGGGAAAUUAAGUUAGGUGUGAAAGCUAUGGGCUCAACCCAUAAACUGCAUCUAAAACUGAUUUUCUUGAGUUCGGGAGAGGAGAGCGGAAUUCCAGGUGUAGCGGUGAAAUGCGUAGAUAUCUGGAAGAACACCAGUGGCGAAGGCGGCUCUCUGGCCUAGAACUGACGCUGAAGCGCGAAAGCGUGGGGAGCGAACA
rnacentral:rRNA from 1 species